AAACAAUCCCAAACCAUAAUAGAUUGAUUAAAAUAAUUUAUGUAAAUUAAUGGCUCAAACUAUUCAGAUCUUCACGAUAUGUUUUGUAAUCUCUCACGAGAAAUUAAAAGAGACUGACCCUGACCUUUCUUGGACACAAAGAAAAAAAAACCAAACAAAACGAAACGAAAAACCAAAAACCCGUUUGGGAAAAACCAAAACAAAACAAGAAUCUUUUGCAAUAAGAAUCGAUUUGUAUGGAAACCGAUUACCAAUCUUUAAAUUCACUCUCCUGGAAAAUCAGAAUCCAAGAAGAAUCUAUUUUCGUCGAUAAACCCGAAGAAGAAGACGGCGGUGAUAUGUAUUUGUACGAGAUACGAUCGUAUGAGACGAUAAUCUAAAAACAAAUAAACAAACCCAAGAAACGAAACGUCAAGUCAAAAGCGAAGCCAACCAAAAAUAAGAAUUUUCAUAAUCAAAAUAAAAUGGAAACCCACUGAAAGAAGAAAAAAAAAACACGAAACGAAUGAAAGGUAGGUAGGGACAACGAAGAUGAUAACACACAGGCAGCCAACAACAAAAGCCAAAGCCGAAUGGACAACACGAACACCACGACGACGAUGAUCGCACAAACCAAACCAUACCAACCCAACCAAAUGUCAUAGGAAAAGUGGCAGACAAAAAAGUACAGCAAACAGGGUCAAAACAAAAAAUCCACGAUGAAACAAACGUUGAGGGAGAGAGAACAAAAAAAGAAUACAAAUGUCAGAAUUGUGUGUGAGUGUGUCGCCGUGUGUGUGUGUGUGUGAAGUAUUGACGCAAGAGCCAAGAAAAACAGUGGAAAAUCUAUAGAAAGCGAGGCAGACGUUGAAAAUGCUGCUUGCGACGAUGUCCGUUUGCUUGGCAGCAGAGCAAGGCUGAGAGGCAUUUUAAUGUUCACAGUGGGGCAAAUGCAAAGAAUUUUUGAAGAAAAAAGGAUAAUAAAUUAAAAUUCGAAAUUUA